rnacentral:pre_miRNA from 1 species
GUAUUCUCGAGAGUUCCCUUGACCACUUCAUGAGGGAUUAAUAUCUUUAUUUUUGAUGCCCUACUAAAGUGUUUGGGGGAACUCUUGGGUUCAC